UAGAGUCUCACUUAUCCAAGCUAGGAAAGGCCAGACGGGCGAGCGGGAAUAGCGUGGGAAGCGGGGCCAUCUCUGGCCCCCCCGCCCAGCGUGCCCUGGCCCUCCCACGCAAUCGCGGCCUGCAGGGACCUCCGCUGCAGUCUGGCUACAUUGAAACUAGAAUAGACUACAUUGAAACUAGAAUAGAGAAAAAUCAGCGUGGAAACUGCAAGAGGUGCCAUAGAUUGUUGUACAUGGGAAUAAUGGUUGUAAAUAGUUUUUGAUUUAUUAAAUACAGUUAUAUAUUACAAUUAUACAUUUUUGCUAUUUAAACUAUACAUAUUAGGGAAAAUUUUUCUUGAAGUGACACACCACCCAAGUCAUGCUAGGUUUUUUGGUGAAUUUUGACACAUCAAGUGCAAAAGGUUACCCGUCAUUGUAUUAGAUUAUAUGGCAGUGUAGAUUUAGGGCCCUUCCACACUGCAAUGUAAUUGUUUUACACCCUUUAUUCCAGGAUCUGAUCCUAGAUUAUUUGCUUUAAACUGGAAGAUACGAGUCCCCACUACCAGAUAACCUGGGACAAACAGAUAAUCUGGGGUCAAAUCCUGGGAUAAAGGGGCGGUGUGGAAGGGCCCCUAUAUAAUCCAGUUCAAAGCAGACAACAUGGAUUAUAUUGCAGUGUAGAUCCAGCCUUAGUCUCAAAGGUGCUAAAGGUACAAGAUCCCUUUACAGACUCAUUUUCCAGACUGACAGGAUUGUGUCUUCUAAUUCGUUGGGUGGAUAGAGUAGGGGGAAGUUAAAUGCAUCUUUUGGCAUGCAUCUGUUCUGUAUUGUGAAAUUAAUGCAGUUUGGCACUGCUUUAACUACCAUGGAUGGAUGCUAUGGAAUCCAGAGAGCUGUUUAGUGAAGCGCCAGACUCUUUGGCAGAGAAAGCCAAAGCACUUAUGCAAAACUAAGCCUCCCAUGAUUCCAUAGCAUUCACCUAUGGCAGUUAAAGUGGCGUCAAACUGCAUUAACUUUACACUGCAGGUGCAUCCUUAUUCUGCCUUGAGGCCCAGGCUGUGCCUUACAAAUGAAUGCACCUGGAGUGAGAGAAGAAUCAGUGGGUAUUGCUUCAUAGUAGAUUUGGGUAUGAUCAAGUAGUGGUGAAACGGGCAGUAGGCUCCUCCAGGACCAGUGGAUUUACUUCCAUGCAAACGUGGAUAGGAUAUAGAGAUCUACCCUUGGAAGGUGUGAAGUGUGGGUGCCUCCUGGGAAGGGUUGGAGGAAAAUAGGAGUGACUAGCAAGCUAUGGAGAUCUGCCAAUUGCAGUGGGCUAUUACUAUCUCUGGGGUUUUAUUCCAGAACCUCCAUGUAUACAAAAAUCUAUGGAUAUGGAAACCUCAUAAUAUACAUAGUAAAAUAGUGUCCCUUAUAUAAAAUGGUAAAAUCAAGAUUUGCUUUUUGGAAUUAAAAAAAUAUUUUCAAGCCAUGAAUGGUUGAAUCCAUGGAUAUGGAGGGCUGACUACAAUAUUUGUUGCCAACAAUUACAGGUGACUGAUAUCAGGUAAUGUAGAUAGAGCAUUUUUCAUAUUUAAAACAAGAAAGCAUUUUUUCUGUCGUCCAGUUUUUCUCUCAUUUGCUGAAUACCUAUCCAUCAUGCAACUAUAAAAACACAACAGAGAUCUUCUCUACAAAAAUUUAAAAUUGCAAUCUGUAUUGAUGUAAUAGAAAGCUGUAAACAGACAGUAAUGUACUCUACAUUAAAUAAGAUUUUUAAAAUUAAUUAUAAUUUGCACAAUUAAAACUUGUGCGCUAACUGCGACCGUACCUCGUGAAGUCUGACUUGGCCACGAUGGUCCAUACCUUAGUUACCUCCAGGAUGGAUUAUUGGCUGCCGUUCACUUUCCGGUCCCAAUUCAGGAUGCAGGUAAUCACCUACAAAGCCCUGAACGGUUUGGGACCCGUCUACCUUUCCCCCAUGAGCCUCGAUCUUCUGGGGAGGCUCUCUUCUCGUUCCCACCUCUAUCACAGGCUCGACUUGUUGGAACAAGGGAGAGAGCCUUCUCUGUGGUGGCCCCUCGAAUUUGGAAUUCCCUCCCUAGGGAGAUAAGACUGGCCCCAACCCUGUCUGCCUUUAUUAAACAGCUUAAAACAUGGUUCUUCCAGUAUGCAUUUGAACAACCAGUGACAUGACAGACCCCUCUCAUUGACAUAUUGUUUCCUCGCACUUUAUUUUCCUUCCUAUCCAUCCUACCCCAUCCUCUCCCUUUGGGGAGAAGGUGGCGGGAUAGAAAAUAAAGUAUUAUUAUUAUUAUUAUUAUUAUUCAUUCCAGGAGCACUGUCCCCAAAUUCUCUGAUCUCAUACCUAGAUAUUGGAUUGGUGGUUCAUACUCACCUUUUUCAGUACACCUUUUGAGUCUAAAGUGGGAUAUAAAUAAACAUAAUAAUAUAAUAAAGAUAAUUCAGCCUCUCUGUGAGGUUGCCUAUUGAAAAUUGAUGGUUAAAUAAUUCUGUCAGACAUUGCGAAGUUUAAUUUAAGCAGAACAGCUCUAUUGAAAUGACACAUAACUAGACAAGGGUAGGAUAAUACUCUGUAAAAUGGUUAAGCUGGGACUGCAGGCCUUGAAAAGACUUGGCCCUAGUGGCACUCCCCAGCUAACAGGGAAAAGAUGGCCUUGUGGGUUAUAUGCCGUCCCCAUGUUGUCACUCAUUUGCCAACCACCGUAUUUAGCAUUAAAUCGCUCAUUAGGACUUGAAUCUGAGUAAAUAGGUCAAAAAGCAGACUGAAAACCUUGCUAGGUGAGUCUUUGUGUAAUUUAAAGGUAGAGACUGAAGGAAAGGAUUGACUUAAAUAAGAUUUGGGGGGAAAUGAAUAGGCUUGCCUUUUCAAGGGCUUGAUAAUAAGGAUUAUACUUAUGUGGAAUUCAUUCCUGCUGCUGUUAAAAAAUACAGGGUGGACACUGUGCUGAGAAAGACCACUAAGAAUAUAGGUUAGUGGGUAACAGAGCUGUCAGGUUAGAAAGGCUCCCUUAUUGGGAACUGGAUGUUUAAGUCCUGUUUGCCACAUUUAAUUCUGAUUAGGAUAUUUUAAUGCUGGAUAUUUGGACAAUCACAGAUAAAUCCUUUUGAACACUAAAAUGCAGUUUAUAAGGCAAAGUUGAUUGUAUGUGUAUACAUAGUUGAUUAUAAGGCAGGUGUCAGGUUACUGUACUGCUACUAAGGGAUGGCUUGGCUGUGGAUCAGGCCCCUGGUAUGAAUGCCUGAUCACCAUCUCCCAAAGUAGUUAGUAUACUCCCAACUCAAGAACGGGAAACGUAAUGUUGAUGGACAGGAAAAGAGAUUUAAAGAUGGGCUCAAAGCCAACUUAAAACUCUGGCAUAGACACAGAGAACUGGGAAGCCCUGGCCCUUGAGCACUCUAAUUGAAGGUCAGCUGUUCCCAAUAGUGCUGCAGAAUUUAAAGAGGCACAAAUGGAGGGCUUAAGGAAGAAACGUGGCAAAAGGAAGGCAUGUCAAGCCAACCCUGACCAGAACUGUCUUCCAUCUGGAAACCGAUGUCUUCUCUGUGGGAGGACAUGCGGGUCAAGAAUAGGCUCCACAGCCUAGACACUACACUUGGAGGACCAUCAUCCUCGAGCUACGAGGGAUCACCUACGUCAGUGUGGUCCAACCUUUAGUUACCCGAGGGCCAAUCAAACUUUAGUAUAGGAAUGUGAGGGCCAGCAACAUUACAGAAAGAAAACAAUUUACAUAAUAUUCAGUUACAUAAUUAAAAUAUUAAUAUUUAAUUACAUCAUUAAAAUAUUUUUCCAGUAAGAAGAGCAAAGGCCAACAAAAAUGAACUGGUUGGCCACAUGCGGCCUGUGGGCCAGACCACACUGACCUAAGUAAUGUAACCUACUUCCAAUCAUACUCAGACUACAGUAGAAUCAACAGACAAGGUUGUUUACACAUUUUAGUUUAUGCUAUUUUUAACACAACACAUAAUUAUCAGCAUUGUCAAGAAUAUGUUCAACCUCCAUAUUUUCUGCAUUAUACAUAAAGGAAUUUAGGAGUUAACAUACAGUGAAUUUAUGCAAUCCUAUCAAUAGAUUUUCAAACUAGCUACCACAUUGUACCUCUUAUUCACAGCAUAGAAAGUAAGACAUUUUCUAUCUGGAUCCUAUACUGUGAGAGCACAGGAUCUUUAGUGUGUUGUGUGUGUGCUGUAAAUAGUGUAAUGCAAGAUCGUGUUUCAUAUCUUUGCUCAUUCAUAAACUUGUUUUGCUGCUUAUAACUGUAAUCAAUACCCUAAUGAGGCAAACAUUUAGAGCAGAUGGACUGUGACAGUAUUAGUUUUGUGGUCUGGAUCCUUAAAGGGAACAAAGAUUGUAACAUGAGGUGCUUCUCAUUUUGCACGCCUUAACAUGGUAAGUACAUUGUUACUUAAGCUUAUUAAUGCCCUUUUUAAAAAAAUAAUUUACUUGCCUCCUAACAAACAUUUCUGUCUCCAUUAACACUUCAGAAUGGCAGGCUUUGAUGCUGUACUUUAUUUUGAGAAUAGUUUAUCUGAUCAAAAAAUUUUAUCUCUAGUUUCACUAUCUAAUGUGUAUGGGAGGGGAAUAAUGCAGCCCUUUCAUUGUGGUUGGAUUGCAAAUAUGAACAUUGUCUGUCUGGGUGUGAUUUCCUUAACAGCAGUUCAAUAAGUUUUUGUGAAUGUUUACCCUGAACUGGUAAGGUGCACAUGUAGAAAUAGGUCAUGUAAGCCUAGCACUGAGUCCCCUAGGAGAGAUAGGGCGGAAUACAAAUAUAAUUGUUUAUUAUUAUUAGCGUAAGUAUACAAAACAUUUUGAACCAUGUGGAGAUAACAUAAAAGCUUCUUCUAAACUGCCUACAGGGAUGGCUUUUUGUUUCACGUUUUUUCUUGUGAAUUCCAUUUCAUCUGAUGUCUGAUUUUUUAAACAUCCUGGAUUCGGCUAGGGAGGCAGGCUUCUUUGUUGCUGUUCAUUCAUACAAAGCUAAGGGACUCUGGAGGCAGGUGCUGCUGAACCUGACUAUUGUAGGCAGAUACACACACCUACAAUAGUAUCAUCUAGAAUAGAACCCUACUCUUUCCCACCUCAAGCUUUAUCGCAGUGUUUACUGCAGACAAACUGCUGCAAUCCAAUACUGGAAGUCUAUGUUUCUAGGGCCUUUCUUUGUCUUCCUCUCAAUGCAGAUUUUGGUUUAAAAAUAUCCAGCUGAAUGAAGAUGAAAUGGACAAUAAAAACAUUGUUAAAAGUACUUUUUUGCCGAAAGGUUUUGUCAAGUAAGGAAAGGCCCAUAGUUUUAGCUAAUUCUAUGGCUAAUUUUGUUUUAUAAGCUGCUAACCCGUUCCCAACAACAUUCUGCUUGGUUCUUGAAUCAAUAUGCUUAACUGGAAAAAGAAGUUGAUUACAUUGUUUUUCUUGGUUCACCACUUUACAGAUGUUCGUAGAAAUACCUUUUGUCAUUAUGGUGGAAUAAACACAAUGGAGAAAUCCAGGAUGGGACAAUAGCAAGUACCAAAAUACUGGUGCCCUUUUUGAUUAUGAUCUUAGUCUGUGUGAAAAUGCAUAUUUUCUGUUUUCUAGUCUUAAAACAUUUUAAAAUCUGAACCAUCUGCAAGCUUGGAAAUAGGGCACAACACUUCUGCCAGAAGUGUUGGAUUUCAGCUGACACCAAAGGCUCAGAGGGGAACUGAAGAAGCAUGACCUUUACUGUAAUUGGAGGUAUAUUUUGAUUGAUGAAUAUUUGGCUCAGAAUUCAAGCCAUUCUCAGUGCCAUCUAUACCUGGCAAUUUUAAUAGUAUUAAACACUUGACGGUUGUUUUGUAAUUUAGACCUCCUCUAUGGAGAUAACUGAUCUCAUUGCCAUUUAAAAAGGUAACUUUUUAAAAUGUUUCAAAUUCCACAAAAACAUAGGGGGGUCCAUAAAAAUUAAGAAGAUGAAGUCAGACAGGGUUUGCUCUUCUCAAUCUAAUAACAUAUAGUUAGAAGUGGAGAAAUUGUAGAUUAGAGUUGAAGACAUGAGGCUUUUAAAAACUCUCUCCUAUUGGCACUAGAAAGAAGAAAUUCAGAUGGAAAGCUCUUUCCAUGCUCCAGAAACUUCACCCCAAUACAUAAUAAAGUAGUCGUAGCCCCAGGGCAACAGAGAUUUUCACCACUGAAUAAUACAGAAGACCUCAAAUACCAUCACAAAGAUGUGUCCAAAGUUGACUGGAGCUCUGAGGUAUAACUUGUAGGGAUUCUAAACUGACUGCAACAUUCACUUCUGUUGCCAGAUUGGGCCCUAUGUUGGAAAGUAAGAUAAAUAAAUAUUUUUGUUGCAGCUUCUGUCAUGUCCAGUGAUUCUCAACCUGUGGAUCCCCAGAUGUUUUGGCCUUCAACUCCGAGAAAUCCUAACAGCUGGUAAACUGGCUGGGAUUUCUGGGAGUUGUGGGCCAAAACACCUGGGGACCCACUGGUAGAGAACCACUGUCUUGUAAUGUCGCUGUAAUUUGUUCAUAAAAUCAUUUAUUGUUGUGGCAUAUAAUUUAGGUCCAGUAAUCAGAAAUUCUUACCUGUUUGCCUGCUUAAAUAACCCUUGAAUGUGAAUCUACUACAGUAGAGUCUCACUUAUCCAAGCCUCGCUUAUCCAAGCUUCUGGAUAAUCCAAGCCAUUUUUGUAGUCAAUGUUUUCAAUAUAUCAUGAUAUUUUGGUGCUAAAUUUGUAAAUACAGUAAUUCCAACAUAGCAUUACUGCAUAUUGAACUAUUUUUUCUGUCAAAUUUGUUGUAUAACAUGAUGUUUUGGUGCUUAAUUUGUAAAAUCAUAACCUAAUUUGAUGUUUAAUAGGCUUUUCCUUAACCCCUCCUUAUUAUCCAAGAUAUUUGCUUAUCCAAGCUUCUGUCAGCCCGUUUAACUUGGAUAAGUGAGACUCUACUGUACUUAAUAUAUGGUGACCAGUGAUGAUGAUCAAUGAUGUUAGCUUUCCACGAUUAAUGGCUUAUUUCUUCUCAAAGCAUUUCAGCAAAGUUAGUGACAUUCUGUUGGUGAAUGUGAUAACUGCUAGAGUCAGUUAUAAAAUUACCAGGCCUUACAGAAUCAAAUAGCAACAAAAGUCCAAAAUCAUAACCUGAGGAGCCAGUAAACAGGAUAUUUCAAACUGCUAUUAAAUUUAUUAUAGGCGAUGAAGGCUUUGUUUGAUGUAUAUGCUGUCUUUCUCCCAGAGUGGAAUGCCAAGGUGGCUUACAGAAGGCUAAAACAAGAUGGAAUCUAUCUGCCUUCACAAUGUGGUACAUUGUUAGAGGGGUCCAAUUUAUAGGCCACUCAAGUUCAUUGGAAUCUGCUUUGCUAAAUCCCAGUGGGCCAUGGAUCAAACUCAACGUGAAGGAGUUUCUGCAAUGACGCGGAAGAAGCUUAAUUGUCCUUGGCACAAAACCUGACUUGCCUGGUGUGUUUCUUGGCUUACUUUGAGUGGACAAGAGCGUCAAAACAUGAGCAAGAGCUACUGACUUCAUUCACUAGAGAAUUAACCUUCGUUGCCCCACCUCAUCUCCCUCCUCAAUACAUGCAUGACGGCGCUGAACUCUUGCUAUGCAAUUCAUUACAGCAGCAAAAGGAAACACAAGAUUCCCAGUCUGACAUUUUUCCAUACCUUUCAUAUAUAACAUUUUCUUUCAUUUUUUUCAGUAUCAUUGGUGAUAUACCAGUUCUCUAUCGUAAGAAAACCAAUAAAAAUAGUGACAGUAA